UAAGUUUAUUAAUAUUCUCUUGGUUUCGUUAAGCCAUUCUGUUUGGCAAUUUAGAAAAUAGUUGAUGAUCUUUAUCGCAUGAUCAAGACUUAAAUAAAUUCUCUUUUUCUUCGGAUAUAUGAAGGAAAUGGAAUGUUGUAUAAUAUUCAGAGCCAUAAGCUACUCACGGAAGCAUUUAGAAAAUAAAAACUAGUCAAAUAGGUUGUUUUUGAAUCAAAGGCUUAAUAAUGUGACAAUCUUCUAGUCUUCAUUCCCAAAUAGCUAGGGAUCAUCAAUCGCAUUCUUAGAUUUCAGCUUCACAAUUCUAAUUAACCUUCAGAAUAUAUAUGGCACAUUUCUUUUUCAUAUAUGUAUUUUUUAUAUUUUUUUCUAAUUGAGUGCUAGAUUUGAAUCUGGUUGAACCACCCAUAAUAGGCUAGCUUGAUCAAGAUUAUCUAAAAUUUAAAUAUUAGAGAAAAU
rnacentral:lncRNA from 1 species